ensembl:lncRNA
GGUGGAGUAUCCCUUUAAGCGGCCAUAUUGAGUGUUGCAUUUUUCCCCAUUCAAAACUAUACGAGUGACACGUCUUGGGUAUUCUAUAGUCUUUGAUAAUAGACAAACUUUGUUUCACCAACAAUGGAUCGUACUGUGGUGGUUAAUCAGUGAGUUACGUCGUUGAACAGGAAACACACCCCAGACCGAUUAUCGGUCAACCCCCUAAUGAUGACUCUUACAUUACAUUUGUGAAAUCAAACUGCAUUUAACAACACAUUAAACAUUCAUGGUAUACAUCUCAUAAACAAGAGCUGUACAAGCACUUUUUAAAGAGAUACUUCACCCAAAAAUGGAAACUCUGUCAUCAUUUACUCACCCUCAUGUUGUUUCGAAUCAGUAUAAGAUAUUUUGAGAAAUGUGUGCUUUUUUGUUUUUUUGCACACAGUAUUAGUCAUUGUUAACCAAAACUGUUUGUAACAGUAUUAGCCAAAAUCAUUUUUCAAAAAGUAUUUUUUUGUAUUCUGAAGAACAAAGUCAGUCAUACAGGUUGAGAAUGACAUGCGACUGAGUAAAUAAUGACAUAAUUUUUAGAUUUGGGUAAACUAUCUCUUUAAAAUAGCCAUUUCAAAAACAUAAUACUCAAACUCUAGUGGAUUGUUUCGAUGUUUUAUUCUGUAUACAAAUGAAAUAGGACAAAUAAAUACACUUUUUAAAUGAGGAAAACAAAUAAGCUCAAACAAAUUUCAAAGUCUAGGCAAAAACAUGGUGCAUCUAUAUGAUUAGUUUGAUUUUAAAAUGUCCAACCAAUGAUAAAAAAAAUUUAAAUAUUGAUUCCUGUCUAUUGUAACAAAACAUUCUUUAGCCAGAUGAUAAAUGAAGCUUUUUUAUUUACUUUAGGCAAGGUCUGGUGAGCAAUGUGUUAAGAUUUGUGGCAAAAAUGCUGACAGACAGUCCUAUCGACAAGGAAUGUGUUUUUAUCAUAUAGGUGUACCUCACCAUAGCAGUCUUUAUACCUCCUCAGAGAAACUCAGGUGUGAUUGGGGGCAGGUUUUUAAAGAGAGGUCAAGUGAAGAAGCCAGGACAGGAGUUGUUUAA